UGUGGUUUUAGUUUAGCUAAAAAUUUUUGCUUUGCAAGCAAGGGAUCUAAGUUAGAUUCUUAGAAACUACAG
rnacentral:tRNA from 1 species